rnacentral:tRNA from 1 species
GCGACUGUAGUCUAGUGGUUAGGAUUCUGGCCUUCCAAGCCAGUAACCCGGGUUCAAAUCCCGGCGGUCGCACCA